rnacentral:rRNA from 1 species
CUACGGGGGGCAGCAGUUAGGAAUAAUCUACAAUGCGCGCAAGCGUGAUAGUUUGAGCCAGAGUGCUUAUCAUUUGAUCAGCUUUUGCCGAAUGUAAAAAGUUCGGCGAAUAAGGACUGGGCAAGACUGGUGCCAGCCGCCGCGGUAAUACCAGCGGUCCAAGUCGCAGCCACUUUUAUUGGGUCUAAAACAUCCGUAGCUUGCUUAGAAAGUUUCCUGUGAAAUCCGGCUUCUUAAGAGUUGGGCGGGCAGGAAAUACUACUGGGCUAGAGACUGGGAGACGUAAGAAGUACGUUCAAAGUAGCGGUUAAAUGUGUUAAUCUUGGACGGACUAACAAGAGCGAAGGCAUCUUACGAGAACAGUUCUGACAGUCAGGGAUGAAGGCUAGGGGCGCAAAACGGAUUAGAUACCCUUGUAGUC